GAUGAACGCUGGCGGCGUGCCUAAUACAUGCAAGUCGAGCGAACAGACGAGGAGCUUGCUCCUCUGACGUUAGCGGCGGACGGGUGAGUAACACGUGGAUAACCUACCUAUAAGACUGGGAUAACUUCGGGAAACCGGAGCUAAUACCGGAUAAUAUAUUGAACCGCAUGGUUCAAUAGUGAAAGACGGUUUUGCUGUCACUUAUAGAUGGAUCCGCGCCGCAUUAGCUAGUUGGUAAGGUAACGGCUUACCAAGGCAACGAUUGUUAGCCGACCCGAGAGGGGCGUCGGCCACACUGGAUGUGAGACACGUCCGAGACUCUGACAGUGGGAAGCGGUAGAGACUCUUCCGCGAUGGAGGAGUGGCGGACGGAGCAACGCCGCGUGAGGGAUGAUGCACCACUGACCGGAGAACGCUGUAAGUAUUAAAGUUGAAAAGUGUAAGUACCUAUGAUCAUCUUGACGGUACCUAAACAAAAAGCCACGGCUAACUCCGUG
rnacentral:rRNA from 1 species